rnacentral:lncRNA from 1 species
AUCUUCAUCUUCAUCUUCUUCCUCAUUUGGAGCUCUUUGAGAGGUAAGCUCCCAAGCCCUCUCAUGGUAGAUUUUUGUAGAAUGGGUUUUGAACCCUAGAUCUUUGGCUUUGAUCUACCUACAAGCUUUAGAAUUUUGUAAAGGCCAAGAACACAUGAAAUCCAUGGUGUUCUUCAAGAUGCUCUAAUGGUGGAUUUCUAGGGUUUGUUCUAGACACCCUAAGAACGGUUCAAAUGGUCCUAAAUGAGCUCUAAGAACUUGGACAAGCUCUCUUUUGCUUGUUUUAUAGAUCAAAUCUGGAGUAUUGAGCAUAUGCCAUGUUAGGGCAUCCCAAAGAGGGGUUUUGCUCAUAUAGGGUUUUGAUCUAUUUUGACCAUGUGGAAACCUAAUUGAUAGGUAACGAAACACGUUGGUGAAGUCGGUUCGGCAAUCCGACGAGCCGUUUUAAAGAUAUCGAAGAAACGGACGCUUGGAGCUUCGUUACCGCCUGGAGGGCCGAGGCGGCGUCCAUAAAUCGUGAAAUCGGGUCCCGAGCACCGUAACGGCAAGGCAAAGAUCGUUAGCACGUGAAACGGCGAAGCGGCGCGCUCUUGAAAAGCAAUUGUGAGAUCGGGCCCAAACGGGUGCCGAGUGCCGCGGGAGGCCGAUUGCCGCGGGAGGCCGAUUGCAAGUGUCGACAAGCAAUCGGAAUGCGAAUCGAGGUGGGUUGUGCUUACCGAAGCGACUAGGUCGCCCUUUAUGUCUUAGCAAUGUAUCUCAUGUUGAUGCAUGUGCAUGUAGACAAGACUAAAUGAUGCAAUAAUAAAUAUGCAUAAGUAAAGGCUAAGUAAAGUAAAGAAUGCAUGAUAAAUGAUAAUGCAUAGAGUAAAUGCAAGUAAAGUAAAGAAUGCAUGAUAAUGAC